rnacentral:rRNA from 1 species
CCAAUAGCGUAUAUUAAAGUUGUUGCAGUUAAAAAGCUCGUAGUUGAAUUUCGGGAUCAAUGGGUUGGUCAUGCCCUCGGUAUGUACUGAUUUCAUUGGUUCUCACCUUCUAAGGAACCAUGAUGUCAUUUGUUUGAUGUUGUGGGGAAUUAGGACUGUUACCUUGAAAAAAUUAGAGUGUUUAAAGCAGGCUAACGCUUGAAUACAUUAGCAUGGAAUAAUGAAAUAGGACAUCCGAUUCUAUUUUGUUGGUUUCUAGGAUCGAUGUAAUGAUUAAUAGGGAUAGUUGGGGGCAUUAGUAUUCAAUUGUCGGAGGUGAAAUUCUUGGAUUUAUUGAAGACUAACUACUGCGAAAGCAUUUGCCAAGGAUGUUUUCAUUAAUCAAGAACGAAAGUUAGGGGAUCGAAGACGAUCAGAUACCGUCGUAGUCUUAACCAUAAACUAUGCCGACUAGGGAUCGGAUGAUGCUUAUUUUUUAAUGACUCAUUCGGCACCUUACG